CACUCAAACGGAACGGCGCAUUCCAACGGGCGAUGGUGUGUAACUGUAAUCGCUUUUUCUAGUUUAUGCGACUCGAUUAGAAUAUCUUUUCUCUUUUCGCUUUUUUUUUUUUUUUCUUUUACGACGAGGGACAGGCAGCGCGCGUUCGGCGACGCGCGCGAUUUAUCACGCCCAAUUAAUUUUACGAAUCGUACGAGACAUUACCGAAGUUGUAACGAGCUCGCUCGCGACGCCAAUCCGUGUCGGAUACGCCGAAGGUUUACUCCCCCUCCCCCUCCCGACGCUCGCCGCCGAAACGAAAAUUGUCGCCGAUCGAUUUGUGAAGCGAACCGUUACGCAUCGUCGGCGCGUAAGGCGAUAGGAAAGCCAGCGUCUAUUAAACGCGCGCGCUGGUCAACGCACCCGUUAUCCUUGUUCGCCGAUUUGCAUAUUCAUAAUGCCCGCGCUACGGUAUGCCGUAAGAAUGCAGAAAAGCAAGCGACUCCGGCGACUGCAGCAGUCGCGCUUUUCUGCCUCUCGCGGCUCUAAGGGUCCCCCGAGAGACCUGUCGUAAAGGUGUGCGUAAGCCCCCCCCGCCCCUCCUCCUCCUUUCUCCCCCCCGUGUCUUGUCUUGUCUUACGCAGACGAAUCUUUCGUUCCCGAACGAGCACAUCCUGGUCCUCCGUCAACUUGAUUUUUCCCGCUGUUGCACUGAUGUAACGAUCGCGCGCGAGUCUGUCGAACCUGUUACAGUGACUCGUGGAGUUUGCGAUUUUACUAAAUUGAAUUUGAACUACAGGAAGUUUGACGUUCAACGCACAUAUGCUGCGAGGAAUCGGGACAUAUUCGGUAUUGAUCGUUUUUUUUUUUCCGGAUACGAAAAAGAUUCUCUCUCAAAUUCACACUCGCCGGAACCGUAGCUACGUAAAAAUUUGCAAGAAAAGUGACACUAGUCGAGCAAUUUGUUGAUUAGUUCUACUGACUCAGCUUGUGCUUGAUACUGCUAUAAAUAAUUAAUUUUGAAACACACACAAUUUUCUCUUUCUCGUUUGAACGAGGAUUAUUUUUGUGCGUCACUUUAUUUGAGGAUCUACAUUACGAGAUAAAACCAAAAUAAAUAAAAGCACAUACACAGUAUCGUUAGAUCUUUAAUCGAUGACAGAUGACUUAAGCUAUAGUAGUAAAUUUUUGUCCAACGAACGGUCAACGUUUCAGACUUUGACUAUUCGGCUGCUUCUACUUUCUACUAGGAAAAUUCGAUAAAAGUGACUCGGUCAGUUUUUCGACUUGAGCCCUGUCAGUUGGAACGUUUCGAAGUUUCCUCACGCUCAGCUGUUCUGCGCGUGGACACGUGCGCGCGUUAAAUUGGCGGGAGAGAGAGAGAGAGAGAGAGAGAAAGAGAGAGACGCGGCUUUACGCGUGUGCGUGCGUUCCGCACGCGUGCGUCGCAUGCACAUACACAGAUAGAUAGAUAGAUAGAUGAGAGAGAGAGAGAGAGAGAGAGAGAGAGAGUGAGUGAGAGAGAAAGAGAAUAUGUAUACGGCAGCGAGUUCCUAUCUGGCGAGCGUCGACGCAGCGCGGUGUGUGCAUGCGCGUGUACGCUCCCCCGCUCGUACGUGGCGUCUAUGUGCACCCACACACGUGGCGGCACGCGUGUGGCAGCCUCUGUGUGGGGACCUAAACGAAGGGAGGCAAGCCAGUAAGCUCGGGCGCGCCGGAGCGGCGAGAGCAGCCAUUUUACUCGAUUCCGGGUGGAAAACGUGUCGCGCGAUUCGCACACAACUUCGACGCCGUCGACGGCGACGUCCUGUAGAGCGUCGCGGCGCGCGUCACCGCGACGCGCGGGUGACGUUGACGGUAACUCCUGACCGCCCGAGGAUUACCAUCAACGACGCCGCUCUCUCGCGAGGAUACGCGGUCACCGCCACCGUCGCCGCCGCCGCUGCCGCCGCCGCAGCGUGCACGUGUAUUACGCUCGUGGCUGUCACGAAGUAGGAACCGCGAGGGGGAGAGACGCGCGCGACUGUGUGCGCGUGUGUUUCCGUCCUUGUCGCGUACACCGCGAGUUGCGAGAAAUGUAGAUCGAUUGAUACUGUUGAUUACGCUUCGAGGCAGAAUUCCGUAAUGACCACUCUCUCGAACGACGAUAAACCCUCUAGGUCGUCGUGUAUGUAUCGAUUCGCGAAGGCCGUUAAACGUACGAGAGGGACGAUACCUAAACCUGAUCACUUAUGAAAACGUAAUCGAUCGUACGUUUCCCUAAAACGUGUUUAUCAAGAUGCCCGAGGAUAUGUGUGGAAAACAAAGGAUAAACUUGGACGUUAAUCUUUUGACUGAUGUCGGAUCGGCGAGACGAAAAUUCUACUCGUAAGCGGUACCUGAAUUUUCAGUUUACGCGGUUGCGUCGGUCGCCGAUGUGCACCGCGACGACAAUACUGCUAGGCAACAUUGACCCAGAAACUCUCAAAUAGAAGGGAGAAUCGUGACGUUUUCAAGGACUCCGCUGCGAGAGCUGGCCGUAUGCAGCGAGAAAAUUUCGACAAGUUCGCCACGGGCACCGGAAGUCGCGGCGAUACGACUCGAGCAAAGGAUGUGACGUCAGCAGAAGCUCGUAGAACGAAGGUCGCAGAACGGGCGUAAGGGAGACUGAAGGAGCGUAGAUGAGUUGCACGGUCCGUGUCCUCGAACGAGCUUCCAGUUCUAUGCUGGCGAAUUUAUUCGAUUAGAAUCCAGCGUAUCUUUCGGAGAGAUCCCUCGAGAUUGAAGUGAUAUGCGAGCACCCCUUAUGUCGUGAAUUGUUACCUCAAGGCGAUUAUAUGAAACAGCACCGUUGACCAAAUCUACGUGUAAAAAAACAUUUUGUUUUUAUGGGUACGUCCUGGGCUUGCGUCGGGGUAGCUAGUGAAACGUCCCUUCGUGGCGAAAAAG